AUGAGGAAGGAGAUGGACAGGGGCAAGUCGGCCAAGCAGAUCGCCGAGGAAGAGGAGAUGGCCUUUGAGGCGGAGGACUUCGCCUUGUACCGUCGCAACUGGGAGUCCGCGUGGGGAGCGUGUGGCUACGGGUUCUUCGAAGACAUGACGACCGUGAGCCCCAUGCACUUCACCCACUGGACGCCCGGAUGGAGCCCACAUGAUGCCGCCAUUGCCCGCGCCACCCUGCAGAUCUUCACCAUCAAGCUCACGGAGAUAAAAGGUGGCCUUGAGUGGCCGUUGUCUGUGUACGGCGUCAUUGCUGCGCGGGACUGCGUGGAUCGCAAUCGCAACCCCCUCUUCUCUUGCGAUAGGUGGUUGAUUGGCCCGUCUCGCGCCAUCGUGUUUACUGAUCCAGUUGACUUUGAAAUCCAACUAACUGUAAAAGGCUAAAAGUUGUCUCAAGAUAGAGCAUUGAUCAGUGGGACGCGCCAUUACACCGAAGGACAUUAUCCAGAUGCAUCUACCGUUUGCUUCAGCAACUGCUUCUGCACGACGGAGUUAUGCAUGGAACAGAUUGAUGAAACUGUUCAGGCAACUAUAUUGGGUGUCCAUGUCAAAAAUGGGCAGUGGCCUUUUGAUUAUGGCGGUCAAGUGGCAUGCCUCUCGCCGUCGCGGACAGCUGAGAUCAUUGUUGUGUUGCUUGCUUCUCGUGGUAAGACAAUGCCUAAGGGCUCAUACGGUUAUCUUCAUCUAUCGAGAAAUGUAUUUUCUGUAGAACUGAAAGGAAGCCUGAAAGUUGUCAUACAAGCCUACUCAGAACUGGGUGACAUCGGCACACAAGGUGAGGUUUGCUUCAUGCCCAAAGCUUGCCAUAUAAGUCAGAAGGCAUGUUUCAUGGGUGACCUUGACCCUAAGGUGGAAGUGGAGGUUAUUGUCGCUUGGUCUCUGGUUGUUUCAAAAAAAGUCACGUGUCAUGAUAUAGAGAUGGACUUUGACGAUUCGAAACUAGCACUCAGUGGGUUGGGAUUUGAAUGUUCUGAAGAUGAUGGCUAA
rnacentral:rRNA from 1 species